GACGAACGCUGGCGGCGCGCUUAACACAUGCAAGUCGAACGGAAAGGCCUGCUUUCCCUUGUGGAUUGCGGGUACUCGAGUGGCGAACGGGUGAGUAACACGUGAGUGAUCUGCCCCCAACUUGGGUAUAAGCCUGGGAAACUGGGUCUAAUUCCCGAUAGGACUGCAGGGUGGUGCCUGUGGUGGAAAACGAUUUUCUAGUGGUUGGGGAUGAGCUCGCGGCCUAUCAGCUUGUUGGUGGGGUAAUGGCCUACCAAGGCGGCGACGGGUAGCCGGCCUGGGAGGGUGGACGGCCACAGUGGGACUGAGAUACGGCCCAGACUCCUACGGGAGGCAGCAGUGGGGAAUAUUGCACGAUGGGCGGAAGCCUGAUGCAGCGACGCCGCGUGGGGGAUGACGGCCUUCGGGUUGUAAACUCCUUUCGACCGCGAGGAAGCCACCUGGUUGGAAGGGUGGUGACGGUAGUGGUAGAAGAAGCACCGGCUAACUACGUG
rnacentral:rRNA from 1 species